rnacentral:rRNA from 1 species
CUCGUAGGCGGUUUGUCGCGUCGACUGUGAAAUCCCGUGGCUCAACUGCGGGCUUGCAGCCGAUACGGGCAGGCUAGAGUUCGGUAGGGGAGACUGGAAUUCCUGGUGUAGCGGUGAAAUGCGCAGAUAUCAGGAGGAACACCGGUGGCGAAGGCGGGUCUCUGGGCCGAUACUGACGCUGAGGAGCGAAAGCGUGGGGAGCGAACA